GAUGAAGAACGCAGCGAAAUGCGAUACGUAAUGUGAAUUGCAGAAUUCAGUGAAUCAUCGAGUCUUUGAACGCACAUUGCGCCCCCUGGUAUUCCGGGGGGCAUGCCUGUCCGAGCGUCAUUGCUGCCCUCAAGCCCGGCUUGUGUGUUGGGUCUCGUCCCCCUUCCCGGGGGGACGGGCCCGAAAGGCAGCGGCGGCACCGUGUCCGGUCCUCGAGCGUAUGGGGCUUUGUCACCCGCUCUGUAGGCCCGGCCGGCGCUUGCCGAUCAACCAAAACUUUUUUCCAGGUUGACCUCGGACCAGGUAGGGAUACCCGCUGAACUUAAGCAUAUCAAUAAGCGGAGGA
rnacentral:misc_RNA from 1 species